GAUGAACGCUGGCGGCGUGCCUAAUACAUGCAAGUCGAGCGCGAGAGUGAGGAGCUUGCUCCUCAUGAUCGAGCGGCGGAUGGGUGAGUAACACGUAGGCAACCUACCCUUGAGAUUGGGAUAACUACCGGAAACGGUAGCUAAUACCGGAUACGACUUUUCCACAUAAGUGGAAUGGUUAAAAGGCGGAUUUAUCUGCCGCUCAUGGAUGGGCCUGCGGUGCAUUAGCUAGUUGGUGAGGUAGUGGCUCACCAAGGCGACGAUGCAUAGCCGACCUGAGAGGGUGAUCGGCCACACUGGGACUGAGACACGGCCCAGACUCCUACGGGAGGCAGCAGUAGGGAAUCUUCCGCAAUGGACGCAAGUCUGACGGAGCAACGCCGCGUGAGUGAUGAAGGGUUUCGGCUCGUAAAACUCUGUUGUUAAGGAAGAACACUUGAGGUAGUAACUGGCCUUGAGAUGACGGUACUUAACCAGAAAGCCACGGCUAACUACGUGCCAGCAGCCGCUGUAA
rnacentral:rRNA from 1 species